UGUUGGUGUUCUCUGUGCUGCUGGCAC
rnacentral:piRNA from 1 species